CCUACGGGCGGCAGCAGUGAGGAAUAUUGGUCAAUGGACGAGAGUCUGAACCAGCCAAGUAGCGUGAAGGAUGACUGCCCUAUGGGUUGUAAACUUCUUUUAUAUGGGAAUAAAAUGUUCCACGUGUGGGAUUUUGUAUGUACCAUAUGAAUAAGGAUCGGCUAACUCCGUGCCAGCAGCCGCGGUAAUACGGAGGUUCCGAGCGUUAUCCGGAUUUAUUGGGUUUAAAGGGAGCGUAGGUGGAUUGUUAAGUCAGUUGUGAAAGUUUGCGGCUCAACCGUAAAAUUGCAGUUGAAACUGGCAGUCUUGAGUACAGUAGAGGUGGGCGGAAUUCGUGGUGUAGCGGUGAAAUGCUUAGAUAUCACGAAGAACUCCGAUUGCGAAGGCAGUUCACUGGACUGCAACUGACACUGAGGCUCGAAAGUGUGGGUAUCAAACAGGAUUAGAUACCCUAGUAGUC
rnacentral:rRNA from 1 species